AAAUGAAGUAAAUGCUAACUCCUAAAUGUCCAACUUUUAGUGGCUCAAAAUUCAAGAUAAAGUGAAGGACCAUCCUUCCAACGCUUCAAACUCCGUUAACUAACUCACCAGUGCCUGCUUUAAUCUAUUUUUAAAACCAUUUCUGUAGUGUAAAAUAAUUCAAAUAAUCAUAGAUUCUUUCCAUACAACAUUGACAAUCCAUUAAAGUUACAAGUCUCUAUCCAAGAAUACUAUAUAGCAAACAGAUGCAACCAACUGCACGACAGUAAGACAACAGACAAUUGAUCACCAUCCAAAAUUUUCCUUCUUGCUUUCAAGAAGUCUUUGAAGGUCACCAUAACCACAAGGGACAGCAAGAAUACCCUUUUGUCUGAACCCGAAUUCUUCCUCUGCUUGCUGUAACAGUUUCAGAAAACCCAUAUGGGCUAAGCAACUUAACUCUAUUACAGACCUCCUCGAUUGACGAUCAUCGACUGUAUGUACCGCAAAGUGUCCCUCCUUCACAACGUCUGGUAGAUUUUAUGGCAAUGAAAACCCAUCUUCAUCAAAAAUAUCAUCAAUGCAUGUGAGGAUUUUUCUCAGUUUUCUCUUCACAGGAUUAUGGAUUAGUAGACAUCUUUUCAUCAUCAAUGUUUGAUUGCACAUAUACGAAGCUGACAAGAUAUAAAAUCUAGUACAAAAGAAACUGACUGCAUCGAAAUUUAUACUCGCUUUUGCAGGAAACAAAACAUCAGAUACCAAAAAGUAUAUACAAUCUAAAUGCAUGUGCCUUGGAAUUAAAAAUUUCUGAUUUGUAACUUCCAGCUUUUAUUCAAUUGUCAAGUAAAUUGGAUGGUGGCAAACCAUAAAAGACCAUUUCAUAACUAAAAAACCGAAUUCAAAAGGAAAAUAUUAUAGGUUAACUAUGUCGAAAUGUCUUCAAUUACAAAUGUUCACAUUAUGGGAUACUAUUUAAGCAAAUUGAAAAGCACAAAUACAUGGACACUACAACUAGCACAUGUUAUGCAGGGAAGGAGCCAUUGACAAGACAUGAAUUACCGGAAAAUACACAUUUGUGAUUCAGGAAUAUUAAGAAAUAUAAAUAUCACAAGCAUAUAAACUUCUAGGAUAUCAAUUACAGAGAAAAUAGGAAUCAAAUACAUACACCACCAUCCUAAAGAUGCAGAAAAUCAAGACAUGAUAGACAAGCAUGUAAACUUCUAGGAUAUCAAUUACAGAGAAAAUAGGAAUCAAAUACAUACACCACCAUCCUAAAGAUGCAGAAAAUCAAGACAUGAUAGUAGAAUGCUCUAUGCUUCAAGAAAGAAUAAAGAAACAAUACAUCAAUACAAGAGCCGGAUACUCUGUUUUCACAUCCUGUCUUAUAGGAUUUUCAGCAAGUAAUCUUAAAAGUGCGAAAGUAAGCAAAAUUUAUACAAGAUAAAAACACUUUAAUCAAUUAAAUGCUAGAUUCAUUAUUGGCAGUUUGCAUACAUUUUAGGCAUUAACAAGGUGAUGGUGAAUCUCAAACAGAAGAAUAUCCGACACGGUGGCACCGCCACACCAUAAUUUAGAAAUCUACUUGCCCCCUGAUUUUGAACAAUUUUUUUACCACUGAAACUGAAGGGAAUACUUGUAGAAUUCUCAACAUAUUGAGGAAGUUUGAAAUAUUACCACGAUCAUUUAUUACCAUAUUACUCUCUAUCUCAUUCUCAAAAGUCAACGAACAGGGGACUCAAAAUAGCUAAUUCCAAUCAUAUAAACAAAAGAUCAUGAGAUCUACUAUUAAUUUAGACAGAACCUGCUUAUAUAUAAUGAAACCAUUUGGGAACAUAAGCAAUAUUUUCAACACAUAGGUAACAUUUAUAGAAAAAUUAUUAAUCGAAUACAUAUAGAAUUCAGAAAGUAAUAAUAUACAAGAAUUUAUUCAUAACGUGCAAAAAAUAAAAAAGAAGAUCACAUGAUACUGAUAAUAGCAACUCUAUUAUUACUAAUCCAGCUCUUCCCUUAAGCUUUCCUAAUGAGACUUUUCAUCAAACAGUUGGUAUAAGUUCAACGAUGUCGUUAACAGAACCAAAACCGAGUCCGUGGCAUCUGGCGUGGUCCACUCUCCCAGUUUCUGUUCAAACACCCCCUGCACCUUUAUCAGACAAAUUAACACACCCAUAAACUAUACAUGCAAAAUAAGACAUAUAACGCGAAAGAACACGAUUAGGGGGGGCAUACGAGAGAAGUUAAGAGGUAAACGAGGUCGGAGCACAGGGCAAAAAGUAGUAAAAGGAACAAAAAGACGAUGGCGAAACGGAAGAGAAUGAGAACGAAAACGAAGAUUAUGAGGUAGUAGAAGAAGAGGAAGGGGGAAUCAUCUACUACAUAGACUAGCAUUUUUUCUGGUUCCGUUCCGGAAAUAGGAAUUUUGGUAUGUGAUCGUCCCCAGGAAUGGAUUUUCUUGCUGAAAAUAUUGGGUUUGAAACACUAUUAAUGUCGUUUUCACCUUUUCUUAAGGUACUGGUAUCGAAGAAUCUGGAAACGGUCUCUAAUGUCACAUUUCCAUUGGCCCGACAAUUGAAUAAU
rnacentral:lncRNA from 1 species